AGAGUUUGAUCCUGGCUCAGAAUCAACGCUGGCGGCGCGCUUAACACAUGCAAGUCGAACGAGAAAGCCCGCAAGGGUGAGUAAAGUGGCGUACGGGUGAGUAACACGUGGGUAAUCUGCCUUUUGGUGGGGAAUAACCCUGGGAAACCGGGGCUAAUACCGCAUAAGCCUGAAAAGGGAAAGGAGCAAUUCGCCGAAAGAGGAGCCCGCGGCUGAUUAGCUAGUUGGUGAGGUAAAGGCUCACCAAGGCGAAGAUCGGUAGCCGGCCUGAGAGGGCACACGGCCACACUGGCACUGAAACACGGGCCAGACUCCUACGGGAGGCAGCAGUGGGGAAUCUUGCACAAUGGGGGAAACCCUGAUGCAGCGACGCCGCGUGAGCGAUGAAGCCCUUCGGGGUGUAAAGCUCUUUCGGCAGGAACGAUGAUGACGGUACCUGAAGAAGAAGCUGCGGCUAACUACGUGCCAGCAGCCGCGGUAAUACGUAGGCAGCGAGCGUUGUUCGG
rnacentral:rRNA from 1 species